rnacentral:rRNA from 1 species
GACGAACCGUACGAACGUUAUUCGGAAUCACUGGGCUUAAAGGGUGCGUAGGCGGCGCGACAAGUUGGGUGUGAAAUCCCUCGGCUCAACCGAGGAACUGCGCCCAAAACUGUCGUGCUCGAGGGAGACAGAGGUGAGCGGAACUUAGGGUGGAGCGGUGAAAUGCGUUGAUAUCCUAAGGAACACCGGUGGCGAAAGCGGCUCACUGGGUCUCUCCUGACGCUGAGGCACGAAAGCUAGGGUAGCGAACGGG